rnacentral:rRNA from 1 species
AGAGUUUGAUCAUGGCUCAGAAUGAACGCUGGCGGCGUGCUUAACACAUGCAAGUCGCACGAGAACUCUUUAGCUUGCUAAAGAUAGUAAAGUGGCGCACGGGUGAGUAACGCGUGGGUAAUCUACCCCUGAAUCGGGGAUAACACCGCGAAAGCGAUGCUAAUACCGGAUAAUAUCUUUUAAGCUUCGGCUUACCAGAUCAAAGGUGGCCUCUACAUGAAAGCUACUGUUUGGAGAUGGGCCCGCGUACCAUUAGCUUGUUGGUGGGGUAAUGGCCCACCAAGGCAUCGAUGGUUAGCUGGUCUGAGAGGAUGAUCAGCCACACUGGAACUGACACACGGUCCAGACUCCUACGGGAGGCAGCAGUGAGGAAUUUUGCGCAAUGGGGGAAACCCUGACGCAGCAACGCCGCGUGAGUGAUGAAGGCCCUCGGGUCGUAAAACUCUGUCAAGUGGGAAGAACCUGCUUUAUGUUAAUACCAUAUUGCACUGACGGUACCACUGAAGGAAGCACCGGCUAACUCCGUGCCAGCAGCCGCGGUAAUACGGAGGGUGCAAGCGUUAUUCGGAAUUAUUGGGCGUAAAGAGCGCGUAGGCGGUCUUUUAUGUCAGAUGUGAAAGCCCGAGGCUUAACCUCGGAAGUGCAUUUGAAACUAAGGGACUUGAGUAUGGGAGAGGGAAGUGGAAUUCCUGGUGUAGAGGUGAAAUUCGUAGAUAUCAGGAGGAACACCGGUGGCGAAGGCGACUUCCUGGACCAAUACUGACGCUGAGGCGCGAAGGCGUGGGGAGCAAACAGGAUUAGAUACCCUGGUAGUCCACGCAGUAAACGGUGAACACUAGGUAUAGCGGGUAUUGACCCCUGCUGUGCCGUAGUUAACGCAUUAAGUGUUCCGCCUGGGGAGUACGACCGCAAGGUUAAAACUCAAAGGAAUUGACGGGGGCCCGC